GUUGGAUGUGGAAGCAUAGUGAUAUGUGAAGCUGACCAAUACUAAUUGCUCGUGAGGCUUGACUAUACAACACCCAAGCAGUUG
rnacentral:rRNA from 1 species